AAAAUCAGAAUCAAUAGAAAGGUCAUAACAAAUUAAACAUCUGCUUCUAGAAAAGAACUUGUAAGACUCAAUGAUUAAAACAGAAAUAAAUCAGAUGACAUACCACGUAAAUCAAGUAAUUACAAUAAGUGUUCAAACUAUGAAGAAUUAAUGGAUUAAAGGUUACAGAGAAAAAUAAGAAAGAAAACAAAGUUGGACCAUGACAUAAUGAUAUUCUUAAGAAAGCUGGUCUGAAAUUUGAGGAAAGUAAAAUAGAUUAUGCUAGCAGCUCUGUUAACAAUUAUACCAAUGCACCCCUCCACUCCCACCAAGCAUCAUGCAAGUGGAAUGGAAGUUCCACGAAAGUUCACAUAUGCAACAAGUGUAUAAUUUUAUCAGAAAGCUAGAUCUUUCAAUAGGAAGCCCUUUCAAUAUAAUGAAUGAUGGGCUUCUCUCAUGCAAAAACACGAUAUACAAAGGUCAUAAGCAUGCUCUCAAUGUUUUUAAAUUUUCUUAUAAUUUUUUGUUGUUUUGGCAAGAACGACUUCCUGAUAUACUUCUGCCAGAAGGGUAUGAAGAGAUGAGAACAUAGAUGCACACAUCUACAUCACCCAUGACCCAUCCUUUGGCUAUAAAAUUAUACACCAAGCUAUUUAAUACAAGAAAGAAGCCAUCACCAUUGCUGGAUUUCUCUCUGAACUAGUGCACCAGUAGGCAUGCUUCAAUACCUCCACAAAACCAGCCCAUUUGUACCCAAGAUUCUAGCAAGAACUGGAAGAUCACUUGAUGAUUCAUUCCACUUUCAUCUCUACUUAAAAAAGGUCAAGAUAAACAGGACAAACAAAAGGACAUCAUCAUAGACCAAUGAGCCUGUUCAACAAAUGCAUCUUCCAAAUGAUUGAAAGGAAUAUCAAUCAGCCAAAGCACAUGCCAUUAAAUCAAGUCAUUCAGAUAAAGGUCUAAACUUUGAAUAAUAAAGGGAUUAAAUAUUUAGGUAAAAAAUAAUGCAACCAAAGCCAACUGAGAGACAUCCAGCUAUUUGGUAAUGACAAUGGUGGAAAUAUGCAAAAAGGGCCAAUGUAUAAAUUCCCUGCAUAUAUGAGAUUCCAUAGAAUUACUCAUUUCAAGUUUUCAACUCUUCACAAAUGGCUAAAAACAGUUCAUCUCAGCAGAAUGAAUCAGAUCUCUGGUUUUCAUCUUUUCCCUAGGAAGAGAUAAAACCGGUGCAAGUCAGUUCUUAAUGCAGCUGAUUCUAACACUUCCAAGAAUCAAACUAAAUUGUAUCAGCAUCCCCCUAAGCCAUGACGACAACUACCAUCUCCACAGCAUUUGUAGAAGCAACAACAUUACAAGGGAAAGCCUUGUUUAGUAAUUAAGGGUCAUGGCAUCAACCCGUUGCAAAUUGGAUAUUUCCAGACCAAUAUUUCUGAAAGAAAUUAUGGGAAAAAGAGAUUCUCUUUCCAUCUUAGUGCUAAAACAGCAAACUCCAAUCCUUUGAACUUGGACCAGAUAAGUUUCAAAAUUUAAUAUUUUCUAUUGCACCAAAAACAAUCAACACUCAAAACCCACAUAAUUAAUUCAACUUCAAUUGCAUUCAAGUGCUACUCAAAACCCCCAAAGUUAUUCAAUUAAAAUUGAACACCAAAGCAAUUGAUGAUGCAUAAACAAAAUACUGUCCUUUCAGAAAAAGAUAAACAGAUACCUAAAUUUUGGAUAUUGGGUUUUGCGGGAAACAACCUGGCUAGCUGCAAACCGCUAAAUAGGCUUUCUUAUUCUUGCUUCCGCCAAACAACGGUUUCUCCGCCGGGGGAAAUCAGAAAACCGGAACGCCGAGCUCAGCGUAGAUAGUG
rnacentral:lncRNA from 1 species